CUCCAUCUCAUGAGCUUUUAACAUACCCACAACUUCGUGAAAGCUGAAUUUAUCUAUGUCAAGAGACACAAACAUUUAUGCCUUAUAAGCUGUAAAUCUUUCUGGCAGACACCUUAAAACUUCUUCACCAAUUUCUUAUCCUUGUAGUCCACGCCCAGAACACGAGCCUCUUGUGCUAACGCACUGAGUUGAGAACUAAAAUCUGAUAAAGAUUCAUGUUCUUCCAUCUUCAAGUUCUCAAAUUUUGAUUUGAAAAAAUUCAUCCUUGAACUCUUAACCUUCUCAGUUCCUUCAAAGUGUAAUUGCACAAUAUCCCACGCCUCUUUUGCAUUCUUGCAUCCUUGAAUCAGAUCGACUUGCUUCUUUUUGACUGAUGUAAAAAUACCACAUAAAGCUUUUGCAUUAUACCUUGACAUCUCCUU
rnacentral:lncRNA from 1 species